rnacentral:sRNA from 1 species
UGUGAGCAAAGUUAAUUAUUUUGUAAGGUGUUUCCACGGCUCACCGACAGACUUGACAGAGUACAGACAAAGGGUAGGAAUAGUGUGACACUUAGAUUUAUACCUGGUAGGGCGACUCGAUACCCGUAGGAUGGGACAGACACGGACGAUUUAGUAGCGUUAGUUUAGGCGUGGGUUAGGAUCUCAGCCUAUAUAGAGUAGAGUUUUGGGGCAGUCGGGACACAGCGCCAUGUAGUGUUAGCAGGGGCGUGUGUCGUGUGCUAGGCGUUUUCUGGUGAACGACACAUACAGACAUUGGGAGCAAGUCGCCGAGGCUGGCUCGCGAUCUUGGCUUCAAUAGGUGUGAGUUGUUUGCCAGAGACAACAUGUAGGAACUAAUUCUUAGGGACCAGGAGUGACAGUCUUAGUGAGUCUUAGUGGCAGUCUUAGUGACAGUCUGACAUUCUGGGUAGCAGUCUUGAGCAUGUGGCCGUCUAGCGGAGAGACACAGAAUAGAUGUUAGCGACAGUGGCGUAGUCAGCAAGACAAUGUACGACAUGCAGUGAUUGACAUCAGAUGACAUGGGCAGCGGUACUGAACUCUGAUGCAGUCUGCGGCGCUGGGUCCAGUGCAUGGAUGAUGGAGUAGCCGUGGUGGUCUGAUUGGCGUGGUUGAUUAAUUGCUGUAUUGUUGAUUAUGUCUUUAUUGUUUAUUAUGUUAACAGAUAUCAUAGUUUUAUUAGUACAUAGUAU